AGCAACACGGGGCGCUGACUGGCACGUGAUCGCCGUCUCCUGUGCCGUGCCGGAAAGCUUAGAAAAAAAUUUCUGCCAAACCGAGGAAGCCGAUGUUUGGAGGCGGGAGUUCACCAGAAUACGGUUUCUUAUUUCCAUAGAUAAAGCUACCCUUGUGAUGUGACGUUAUAUUGUGAUUCCUGCUCAUAGAAUUUAGAAUAGAACCUCUGAUUUGUUAGAAAUAGGGAAACCCAAGAUGGAGUCACAGUGGCCAGUGUGGCACCCAUCUUGAUUGUUUCUAAAGAUCUGAUGUAAGAUUUGGAAUAUGUAAAUUAAGAUAACUGGAGUGUGAAGUCAAAUAAGUAAGGCUCCUUGCUGCUGGGGUUGUAACUGUUGCACCCUAGGGAUUGUACCUCACAAAAGACAGGGUCUGAGUGCGGUUGCUGAAGAAGGGUCUCGACGGACUGCAUGCGCUACGCUCGCUGGAGACUGUCCGUGUCAGAAGCUGCCGGAGUAGAAGGUGGUCCCCAUCUGAGCUUGGAGUGAUGUUCUGGAGUCCCCGUUGCUCCAAUUUAGCCCUGAUGCACAGUGAUACUGACUGCCAGUCCUUGGAAACCACCUGUCAAUCACCAGGGCCAUGACUUGCUAAGGGAAUAUGAAAGACUGUAAGAAGUUUUGGCAUUUCUUGUUCGGGUGGAUUUUCCUUAAGGAAAAGUCUCAUGAAAAGAAGAAUCCUCAACAUUUCUGCUGUAGAACCACAGCAACUCUAUUCAUUAGCUCUCUUGAGUGCUAUUAGGUUUUUUUUUUUCUUUUGUUCACUAGUUUCACAAAGAUUCUACCUUACCAUCAAAAAGAAUGUUUUAAAAACCAAAUUUUAUCCCACUCCCUCGCAGUGAGUUAUGGGCUCAUGGGGAAAGGAUCCCCCACUUUUGACUGUUCUAAGAAAGAGCAAGAAAUACUCUGGGAUUACUCAUUUGAAAAAAUACUCCUGGAACUUCCCUGGUGGUCCAGUGGGUAAGACUCUGCACUCCCAAUGCAGGGGGCCUGGGUUCGAUCCCUGGUCGGGGAGCUAGAUCCUGCAUGCAUGCCUCAACUAAGAGUUCGCAUGCCGCAACUAAGACCCAGUGCAGCCAAAAUAAAUAGAUAUUUAAAAAAACACUCAAAGAAAUACAUUUUUCAAUCAUUUUAAAAUAACAUUUUUUCUCAUUACAAAAGUACUACAUAUUCACCCUGGAAAGUUUGGAAGAUGCUGAGAAUUAAAAUGAAAAUGUAAAUUAUCUAUAAAUUUAUAACCACCUAUUAACACCUGUUAACAUUUUGCCUUUUAAAAAGUGAUUUAACCAGUACUAAAGGAUAAUGUAAUCAUAGCUGAACUACUAAUAAAUUGGAGAACUAUGUAAUAAGAAAUCUAUAGGUGAUAAUUGUUGAAGCUAGGUGAUGGGUACGUGAGUGCUUAUUAUACCAUUCUAUUUUUAUAUAGAAAUUUUCCAUAAUCCAAAAAUAAAAAAGAGGUAUCUAUUUGAAAA